AUAAUGCUUGUUAAGAAUAGAUUUUCUUCGCAUCGGAAAUUAUAUGAAAUUAGCUUUAAUUAAGACAACUUUAUAGAACUAAUGUUUCGGAAUAUUACUUUCAAAGUUUAAGCUGCGGCCAGUAUAUUUUGAUAUCAAUAGCUUAGCUAACGACUACGAUCGUUAUUAUAACGAAAGAAUAGAAAUACUCUGUGUCUAACAGACAAACGAGGAUGAUUUACCGUAUCACUUACAAUUUGUUGAAUAGUACAAUUGUACAAAUAUGUUUUAAAACCAGACAAUCAACCCGCCAGGCUCUUAUAAAGUCUCAGUGCCCUCACUGCCCUAAACAGAAUACUCGGCAAAUAUAUUCAACUGUUUUGAAAACAUUACCAGACAACACGGAGUCUGCUAAAAAAUUACAAUAUUCAGGAUAUAUGACGACAACUGCCAAAUGUGACGUGUUUACCAAUUGUGACGUGCUUCCGAGUAUGACGCAGUAAGGUCCAAAACAAUAAGCAUGCAAGCGAGCAAGCAAGCAAGCAAUCAAACGACGCGAUGACAUAUGACUAUCGCUCACGCGA